rnacentral:rRNA from 1 species
AUUGAACGCUGGCGGCAGGCCUAACACAUGCAAGUCGCACGAGUGGCGGACGGGUGAGUAAUGUCUGGGAAACUGCCUGAUGGAGGUGGAUAACUACUGGAAACUGUAGCUCAUACCGCAUACCAUCAGAUCUGCCCAGAUGGGAUUAGCUAGUUGGUGGGGUAACGGCUCACCAAGGCGACGAUCCCUAGCUGGUCUGAGAGGAUGACCAGCCACACUGGAACUGAGACACGGUACAGACGCCGACGGGAGGCAGAAGUGGGGAAUAUUGCACAAUGGGCGCAAGCCUGAUGCAGCCAUGCCGCGUGUAGGAAGAAGGCCUUCGGGUUGUAAAGUACUUUCAGCGGGGAGGCGUUAACCGCAGAAGAAGCACUGGCUAACUCCGUGCCAGCCGCCGCGGUAAUAC